ensembl:lncRNA
GGCAAUAUACUGCUUUGAACAUAAUUUAUUUUUCAUUGUGGGGGCAAAUAUGCAAUGGUUUGGCCCAAAAAUGUAUUUUCAUUACAGUUUGUAAUGCUUAUUGUGUGUGUGUGUCAAAGCUGUCCAAACGGUAAAAAGAAACACAGAAUAAACCUCUCGCUUGUGUUUCUUUACGGUCCAUCAUUAGUUUACAUUUAAUGCAGAACUGAACAGAAGUAAAGAGAGUUCAGUGUGAAAACAGAAUAGUAUUGUAUAUGGAAAAAAAUAUAUCCCACGUGUAUGGUUACAUAGGAAAGUAAAGGAUGCAUAGAAUGACCAAAUGUAAAUUGAAGAAAUGGGCCAAAUGGAUUCUGAAUAUGCACUUUUAAUGUGUAACUUUUGUAUGUUGUGUGGUACAUAUAUAUUUUGCUUUUGAUGAAUUAAUGAGGUACAGGUAAUUGUGGCUUAACUUUUUAGAUACAUUUUAAGAUGCCCACAGCCACAUGGGAUUUAGUUUUGUUAGAAAAGAAAGGCAUGUCUUUUUAAGACUCAAUUGAAGGUGGCUAUCGCAAGCUUUCAUAUUUAAGUAACAGAAUAUUUUUGCUUAUUUGAAAAAGGCAUGUGAAUGGCAAAGUUUUGAAGGGUUUUUUCCCAUCUUGACCUAUGUGCACAGCUUCCAUUAACACCUAAGGAGGUUAUGUACACAUCAAGAGGAAUAUUUCCCUGAAAUGUCAGAUGGUGUUUGCAAGCAGAGACUUGCUCAGUCUUGCAUUUCAGUUAUUGUACUAGCAUUGUGGAUGGUAUUGAAAUUCUGCAUAAUGUGAAAAGGAUGAAACAUUUGUAAACUGCUUGUCAUGGGCCAGUUCUGUAUGAUGCGAACCUUAGCUUUAAUAUCAACAUCCUCAGUGUUUGAUAGCAUUGUUUACAAUUGGGAGGAAAAGUCUGCAGUAGUGCACACUCUAAAUGUUUCCUGAGUUAUUGCAUUGAGUUUACUGUAAUAGUGAUAAUAUGCUAUACUUCUUUUUGGGGAAGACUUGGGUUAGCAGUGGGGAAUGGGAGGAGAUCUCACCUAAUUUAUAAACAUAUUUGCAUAAGGGGGUUAGUUUGCCUAGGAAAAAAAAAUUAUGCAGGGAGGAGAGAGGAAGAAUUUCAGAUUGUUUACUAUCUUAAAAUCUAUCUCCAUCCUCAUUUCAUUAGGAUUCAUCUGAAUUGCUCUGAAGGAAAUUUUCAGAGGAAAGAGUAUAUAGUUUUAUACUUUGGCAUCUAGUACACCAUUAGCAAAGGUAAAUUGGAAAAAAUGCUCAGUCCCAUUUUGAACAAUAAAAUAACCUCUAAAGAUGCAUUUUCUUCUUACCUUCUAACUAAAUCUUUAUGAUGGAUAAAGUGUAAAAUCAGAAACUUUAAUAGUGCAUAAGGCAUCAAGUUAUAUAUUUGCAGAGAUUUAUCCUUUUAUCAGUUUAAAAAUAUUUAUCUAAAAUAAGAUCUCAUAAGCAUUCUUCACAAUAAGACAUGAAAGUAAUUGUUCCCUCCAAAAUAGUGAUGUUUUUGCUGCACUGUGUAAUGCUUUAGGACUAUAUAUCCUCAUACUCAUCACUGGUAAAACUUGCAGCUCUAACAUACAAAGUGACUUGAAUAUUUAAUGCUGUAAUAAUUGUCCAGUUCAGCUUACUCUAAAAUAUCAACGUACAGUAAUCAAAUGGAAAGCUUAAGGACUUUUAUGAAAACUUUUUUUAAUAGAAGCUUAAUAGCACACUUUGUACCAAAUAAUGUCAGACACUAUGCUGUAAUAUUACCUACAUUGUCGAGUGUCCACUUUUCAAGUCAGACAGUGUAUACCAUACAUUACACUAACAGGAAAAAAAACCCAACCCACAUGAUAAUUGAUCUGUUUAGAUAUAAUUUUAUUUAUAAUGUAUGUUUUGAAGUUUUGUCAGCUCUUGCAGAAAAAGUGAAACAGUUACUGUAUUAUUAAGUGAGUGCACUAAUUAUUCACCUCUUUAACUACAUGCAGUGUUCUCACUGGAAUGGGGCUGGCUUGUAAUUACAACCUUCUCCUUUGGAGUCAAUAGCUUGUUUUUAUUCCCCACAUCUCAAGAGCUUGCCCUUCAAAACCUCAGUUGUCAGUUCUAAGUGCAGCAGAUAUAAAACUAUCUAAUACAAAUGGACAGGUUUUUUCAGGCAGAAAUCUUAAGGGUUUUUCUUAGUUUUAUAUAUGUAUUAGGAAUAUAAUGUAUGAAGGUGCCAUGUUUUGGCUUGCCAACACUACUCCCUCAGAUAGAUGUGAACCAUCGCUUCCAUACUUUCUGGGGAGAACCCUGCAUGUGUCCUGUGUGUGCGUGCGUGUGUGUGUAUGACUGUGGUGUUUUUUGUCAAGAAUGACUUUCUAAAAAUAAGGACUCAAUUUGCUGUUAAAACGCUAUGAUGUAUUAUAUAUAUAUAUAUAUAUAUUUUUUUUUUUUUUUUUCCAUUUGAACCUCUCCUAAGGAGAUGCUUUGGGUGGAAGAUGCUUCAAUAAAUGAUCCUUAUUUCCUAGUCCAUUUACUGCAUGCAGAAGUAUGAACACAUUGUGCCUUUUUAGGAAACUGUUGUAAUGAAGGGAAUAUUUAACAGGACACAAGAUCUUUUUUAAAAGGUAUUCUUAAAGGUGGAGUAUGCUAUUUGAUAUACAGUUGAGAUGGAAAAGUUACAAAUUGCCCAUUUAGGCUCUGUUGCAUGUUGAUUCUUGCUUCCUAAAUUCAGUUUCACUAAGGUAGAAACAACACAAAAAAGUGGAAUAAGUAUUAUAGAUACAAGUUGAGUAAUGGUAUAUUUUUGUGAAAAUGUGAAAAUACUUGCUGUUACAAGAUAAAUGUAUGUCAAAAUGUGGUAAUCAUGGACACAAAGUUAGUUUCACAAGUUACUCUAUAGUCUGAUGGUUUUCUAAACAUUGAGUAUAAAAUUCACCUUUGCACAGAAGGUCAGUAGAAGACCUACAUGGAGAUUAUAUUCCUUUUAAAUCCUCAUAGUAAGGUUUCUCUCUUGGGAGAAUAAAAUGAUGUGCAGUAUUUGAAACUGUGUUUCAUGAAAGACAGUGAAUUGCAAAUGUGAGAGAUUGCUACCUGAAAUACUGUUCAAUUUCAUUGGAUUUUACAGUUAGUUAAAAUUUCUAGAUUUAAUGGAUUUAGUUUUUGUAAUUGACAAAUGGAAUGUUAACUGUCUGCUGUCUGGUGUUGAUAGUGCAUUUAGUGCAGAGCUUAGCUCCUUAGCUAGCAAGACACUGACUUAGUCUCAUAACUUGGCUUCUGCUUACAGUAAAUGGACUAUGUAAAGGGAAUUUACUAUUUCAAGUGUUUUGCAAGGAACUUCACUGUAUUUGUAACCUGGUUUUUGAAGGCUUAAGAUCAAUGAGUCCUAUUUUAGAAAUUAAACCAGUGAAAUGACUUAGACCUGUUUUGGGGUGGAAAUGAUUAAAAGAAUUCAGAUAUGUAAACAGUUGUAUCAAACCAUCCAGCCUUUUUUUAUCAGCUGAUGUUAAUGGUGAAAUACUUUUUGUACCUUGUUGCUGAAAAUAUUUUUGCAUUUCAGCACAUCAAGUUACAAUAAAGUUGUUACUUAUACAG